AUUCUCUUAGUUUAAAAGGUUAGAACUACAUUCUUCUAAAGUGUGAAUUUUGGUUCGAGUCCAAAAGAGGAUA
rfam:Termitomyces sp. J132 unplaced genomic scaffold C239411, whole genome shotgun sequence.